UACAGAGGUCUCAAGCGUUGUUCGGAUUCAUUGGGCGUAAAGGGUGUGUAGGUGGCGCGCUAAGUCGGGUGUGAAAUUUCGGAGCUUAACUCCGAAACUGCAUUCGAUACUGGCGUGCUUGAGGACUGGAGAGGAGACUGGAAUUCAUGGUGUAGCAGUGAAAUGCGUAGAGAUCAUGAGGAAGACCAGUGGCGAAGGCGGGUCUCUGGACAGUACCUGACACUGAGACACGAAGGCCAGGGGAGCAAACGGG
rnacentral:rRNA from 1 species